CAGCCGCCGCGGGAAUACGAAGGGGGCUAGCGUUGCUCGGAAUGACUGGGCGUAAAGGGCGCGUAGGCGGCGAUCAAAGUCAGGCGUGAAAUUCCUGGGCUCAACCUGGGGGCUGCGCUUGAUACUUGGUUGCUUGAGUGGGGAAGAGGGUCGUGGAAUUCCCAGUGUAGAGGUGAAAUUCGUAGAUAUUGGGAAGAACACCGGUGGCGAAGGCGGCGACCUGGUCCUUGACUGACGCUGAGGCGCGAAAGCGUGGGGAGCAAACAGGAUUAGAUACCCGCGUAGUCCCUGUCUCUUAUAA
rnacentral:rRNA from 1 species